rnacentral:sRNA from 1 species
CUUAUGGACGAGCAAGAUGAAGAUGGUAGGACUUGUCUUUCAUACGGAGCAUC